GAGAGCCUGCCUGGCUGGGGCUUGGGGGGGACGUGCGCUCGCCCUGGGCUCCUCCUCCCUCCGCUGUGGUUCCUGGGCCUCGGUUCACAUCCCGGCGCCCCCGCCCCGUAGGUCUCUCCCCCCCCCCCCCAACGCCCCGCAGAGGACGCGCAGCCUGCCGGUGCCAGGCGCUGUGGGAAGAGCCCUGGAGAGAAAAUGCCGCCUUGUUUUGCUCUGCCAGAGCGGCAGACUGAGGCACAGAGCAGUGGAGAUCAUCAUCCAAGGUCGUGCAGUGGCAGGACCCGAAGUGGGAGGAGGCUGCGGCUCCCUGAGGCUCCACGUCCCCCCACCCCUCCCCCGCCAGCCUCCGUCCAGACACCCUGGACCGCCUGCGUCUGCUUUCCCGGGAAGUACCAGGACCUGGGGCUGAAGUGUCAACUCACUUCCUGCCGGAGCUCUAGGAUUAUUUGGUGAGGAUCGCAGGAGUUGACACCGAGACUGGAUCGACAAAUGGACAACAGCCCAGUCAUAUAUAAAACAGAACUGAUCCACGGUCUGUAGCUUCCAGUCCAGGAAGGCAAAUGGCAGACCUCCGCCUGGCCCCGGCUGGCCAGGACUUGAUGGAGAACUGCCAGCUUCCCGAGUUUUUGCCUCCGCUUCCAGCUUAGGACCAAUCCAAAAAAGCCAGUUGUGCCCCCCUCGCCAAUCACAGAGGCGAUGCCCCUCCCUCUCUAGUCAUCCCGAAGCCAGCCUCCCUGGCCAACAGCCACCCAGCCAGGCAGGCAUAUUCCCGCCUUUCCCGCUGGUCCUCCCCGAAGCCCUCCCCUCCCAGCCUGUGAGUCCCUGCUGAACGCAAGCGAUGUGUCUGACUCCCUUGCUCGAGCAACUGCUGAAAUAAACAGCCUUUGGUGGUUCUCC